rnacentral:rRNA from 1 species
GACGAACGCUGGCGGCGUGCCUAACACAUGCAAGUCGAACGGGGUUGUUCCUUCGGGGACAACUUAGUGGCGAACGGGUGAGUAACGCGUGAGAAACCUGCCUUUCAGUGGGGGACAACAGUUGGAAACGACUGCUAAUACCGCAUGACACUUUAGUACCGCAUGGUACAGAAGUCAAAAGCUUUAUGUGCUGAAAGAUGGUCUCGCGUCUGAUUAGCUAGAUGGCGGGGUAACGCCCACCAUGGCGACGAUCAGUAGCCGGUCUGAGAGGAUGAACGGCCACAUUGGGACUGAGAUACGGCCCAGACUCCUACGGGAGGCAGCAGUGGGGAAUAUUGGGCAAUGGGGAAACCUGACCCAGCAACGCCGCGUGAAGGAAGAAGGCCUUC